AGCAGCCGCGGUAAUUCCAGCUCCAAUAGCGUAUAUUAAAGUUGUUGCAGUUAAAAAGCUCGUAGUUGAAUUUCGGGGUCUGUCCGUCGGUCGGGCUUCACGGUCCGUACUGGUGUGAUGGGUUCCUACCUUCUGAAUAACCGGCAUGCCAUUCAGUUGGUGCGCCGGGGAAGCAGAGCUAUUACCUUGAAAAAUUAGAGUGCUUAAAGCAGGCUAGUGCUUGAAUAGAUUAGCAUGGAAUAAUAAAAUAGGACGGCAUGGUUCUAUUUUGUUGGUUUCUAGGAUCACCGUAAUGAUUAAUAGGGAUAGUUGGGGGCAUUAGUAUUCAAUUGUCAGAGGUGAAAUUCUUGGAUUUAUUGAAGACUAACUUCUGCGAAAGCAUUUGCCAAGGAUGUUUUCAUUAAUCAAGAACGAAAGUUAGGGAAUCGAAGACGAUCAGAUACCGUCGUAGUCUUAACCAUAAACUAUGCCGACUAGGGAUCGGACGAUGUUAAUUUUUAAUGUACUCGUUAGGCGCCUU
rnacentral:rRNA from 1 species